GGUUAAGCGACUAAGCGUACACGGUGGAUGCCCUGGCAGUCAGAGGCGAUGAAGGACGUGCUAAUCUGCGAAAAGCGUCGGUAAGGUGAUAUGAACCGUUAUAACCGGCGAUGUCCGAAUGGGGAAACCCAGUGUGAUUCGUCACACUAUCGUUAACUGAAUACAUAGGUUAACGAGGCGAACCGGGGGAACUGAAACAUCUAAGUACCCCGAGGAAAAGAAAUCAACCGAGAUUCCCCCAGUAGCGGCGAGCGAACGGGGAGCAGCCCAGAGUCUGAAUCAGCUUGUGUGUUAGUGGAACGGUCUGGAAAGUCCGACGGUACAGGGUGAUAGUCCCGUACACCAAAAUGCACAGGCUGUGAACUCGAAGAGUAGGGCGGGACACGUGGUAUCCUGUCUGAAUAUGGGGGGACCAUCCUCCAAGGCUAAAUACUCCUGACUGACCGAUAGUGAACCAGUACCGUGAGGGAAAGGCGAAAAGAACCCCGGCGAGGGGAGUGAAAAAGAACCUGAAACCGUGUACGUACAAGCAGUGGGAGCACCUUCGGGUGUGACUGCGUACCUUUUGUAUAAUGGGUCAGCGACUUAUAUUCUGUAGCAAGGUUAACCGUAUAGGGGAGCCGCAGGGAAACCGAGUCUUAACUGGGCGUUAAGUUGCAGGGUAUAGACCCGAAACCCGGUGAUCUAGCCAUGGGCAGGUUGAAGGUUGGGUAACACUAACUGGAGGACCGAACCGACUAAUGUUGAAAAAUUAGCGGAUGACUUGUGGCUGGGGGUGAAAGGCCAAUCAAACCGGGAGAUAGCUGGUUCUCCCCGAAAGCUAUUUAGGUAGCGCCUCGUGAAUUCAUCUUCGGGGGUAGAGCACUGUUUCGGCUAGGGGGUCAUCCCGACUUACCAACCCGAUGCAAACUACGAAUACCGAAGAAUGUUAUCACGGGAGACACACGGCGGGUGCUAACGUCCGUCGUGAAGAGGGAAACAACCCAGACCGCCAGCUAAGGUCCCAAAGUCAUGGUUAAGUGGGAAACGAUGUGGGAAGGCACAGACAGCCAGGAUGUUGGCUUAGAAGCAGCCAUCAUUUAAAGAAAGCGUAAUAGCUCACUGGUCGAGUCGGCCUGCGCGGAAGAUGUAACGGGGCUAAACCAUGCACCGAAGCUGCGGCAGCGACACUAUGUGUUGUUGGGUAGGGGAGCGUUCUGUAAGCCUGCGAAGGUGACCUGUGAGGGUUGCUGGAGGUAUCAGAAGUGCGAAUGCUGACAUAAGUAACGAUAAAGCGGGUGAAAAGCCCGCUCGCCGGAAGACCAAGGGUUCCUGUCCAACGUUAAUCGGGGCAGGGUGAGUCGACCCCUAAGGCGAGGCCGAAAGGCGUAGUCGAUGGGAAACAGGUUAAUAUUCCUGUACUUGGUGUUACUGCGAAGGGGGGACGGAGAAGGCUAUGUUAGCCGGGCGACGGUUGUCCCGGUUUAAGCAUGUAGGCUGGUUAUCCAGGCAAAUCCGGAUAAUCAAGGCUGAGGUGUGAUGACGAGGCACUACGGUGCUGAAGUAACAAAUGCCCUGCUUCCAGGAAAAGCCUCUAAGCAUCAGGUAACAUCAAAUCGUACCCCAAACCGACACAGGUGGUCAGGUAGAGAAUACCAAGGCGCUUGAGAGAACUCGGGUGAAGGAACUAGGCAAAAUGGUGCCGUAACUUCGGGAGAAGGCACGCUGGUGUGUAGGUGAAGUCCCUGCGGAUGGAGCUGAGACCAGUCGAAGAUACCAGCUGGCUGCAACUGUUUAUUAAAAACACAGCACUGUGCAAACACGAAAGUGGACGUAUACGGUGUGACGCCUGCCCGGUGCCGGAAGGUUAAUUGAUGGGGUUAUCCGUAAGGAGAAGCUCUUGAUCGAAGCCCCGGUAAACGGCGGCCGUAACUAUAACGGUCCUAAGGUAGCGAAAUUCCUUGUCGGGUAAGUUCCGACCUGCACGAAUGGCGUAAUGAUGGCCAGGCUGUCUCCACCCGAGACUCAGUGAAAUUGAACUCGCUGUGAAGAUGCAGUGUACCCGCGGCAAGACGGAAAGACCCCGUGAACCUUUACUAUAGCUUGACACUGAACAUUGAGCCUUGAUGUGUAGGAUAGGUGGGAGGCUUUGAAGCGUGGACGCCAGUCUGCGUGGAGCCAACCUUGAAAUACCACCCUUUAAUGUUUGAUGUUCUAACGUUGGCCCCUUAUCGGGGUUGCGGACAGUGUCUGGUGGGUAGUUUGACUGGGGCGGUCUCCUCCCAAAGCGUAACGGAGGAGCACGAAGGUUAGCUAAUCCUGGUCGGACAUCAGGAGGUUAGUGCAAUGGCAUAAGCUAGCUUGACUGCGAGCGUGACGGCGCGAGCAGGUGCGAAAGCAGGUCAUAGUGAUCCGGUGGUUCUGAAUGGAAGGGCCAUCGCUCAACGGAUAAAAGGUACUCCGGGGAUAACAGGCUGAUACCGCCCAAGAGUUCAUAUCGACGGCGGUGUUUGGCACCUCGAUGUCGGCUCAUCACAUCCUGGGGCUGAAGUAGGUCCCAAGGGUAUGGCUGUUCGCCAUUUAAAGUGGUACGCGAGCUGGGUUUAGAACGUCGUGAGACAGUUCGGUCCCUAUCUGCCGUGGGCGCUGGAGAAUUGAGGGGGGCUGCUCCUAGUACGAGAGGACCGGAGUGGACGCAUCACUGGUGUUCGGGUUGUCAUGCCAAUGGCACUGCCCGGUAGCUAAAUGCGGAAGAGAUAAGUGCUGAAAGCAUCUAAGCACGAAACUUGCCCCGAGAUGAGUUCUCCCUGAGACUUUAAGUCUCCUGAAGGAACGUUGAAGACGACGACGUUGAUAGGCCGGGUGUGUAAGCGCAGCGAUGCGUUGAGCUAACCGGUACUAAUGAACCGUGAGGCUUAACCUU
rnacentral:rRNA from 1 species